GAUGAACGCUGGCGGCGUGCUUAACACAUGCAAGUCGAACGGUGAAGCAGGAGCUUGCUCUUGUGGAUCAGUGGCGAACGGGUGAGCAACACGUGAGCAACCUGCCCCUGACUCUGGGAUAAGCGCUGGAAACGGCGUCUAAUACUGGAUAUGUGAUGUGACCGCAUGGUCUGCAUCUGGAAAGAAUUUCGGUUGGGGAUGGGCUCGCGGCCUAUCAGCUUGUUGGUGAGGUAAUGGCUCACCAAGGCGUCGACGGGUAGCCGGCCUGAGAGGGUGACCGGCCACACUGGGACUGAGACACGGCCCAGACUCCUACGGGAGGCAGCAGUGGGGAAUAUUGCACAAUGGGCGGAAGCCUGAUGCAGCAACGCCGCGUGAGGGAUGACGGCCUUCGGGAUGUAAACCUCUUUCAGCAGGGACGAAGCGCAAGUGACGGUACCUGCAGAAGAAGCACCGGCCAACUACGUGCCAGCCGCCGCCGUAA
rnacentral:rRNA from 1 species